AUUGCACUCCCUUGUGGGGCUU
rnacentral:miRNA from 1 species